AGACUGCACUUCCUUAGGAGAGGAGCAUUGUUCUGUCUCACCAGGUCCAUUUAGUAUUAAGCCCAGGGUAAUAAACUGCUGCAUGGGUCAAAGUGGUUUUCCCCAGAUAGGAGGAUAUAUGGACAAGCAGAUGCUGUCCUCAGCUGUGUGAAAACUCCCAUCUCCCCACACAACCCUGCUGUAAAAUCUGCCUUUUCACUCUUCUGGGGUACUUUCCUCAGCAUCAUUAGUGAUCCCCCACCACUGAAUUUUGAAGAAGGCUUGAAAGAUGAAAAAACCCUUUGGCACAAAUCUGUGCUGGGCUUCUGCCAUCAGCUGAUCUGCAACAGUUUGGCAUAACCUCCUUCUUUACACGACUGGGUCCUAGGGUAGCUUUGAUCAAUUUUUUAAAAGUUGGAAAA